rnacentral:rRNA from 1 species
UACAUAGGGGGCAAGCGUUGUUCGGAUUCACUGGGCGUAAAGGGUGCGUAGGCGGUCGGGUAAGUCUGAUGUGAAAUCUCACAGCUUAACUGUGAAACUGCAUUGGAUACUAUCCGGCUCGAGGAAUGGAGGGGAGACUGGAAUACUUGGUGUAGCAGUGAAAUGCGUAGAUAUCAAGUGGAACACCAGUGGCGAAGGCGAGUCUCUGGACAUUUCCUGACGCUGAGGCACGAAAGCCAGGGGAGCAAACGGG